rnacentral:rRNA from 1 species
AGGGCGCAGGGCGAAUGCCUUGGCACUGGGAGCCGAUGAAAGACGUGAUAAGCUGCGAUAAGCUUCGGGGAGCUGCAAAUAAGCAUUGAUCCGGAGAUUUCUGAAUGAGGAAACUCACCUGGGUUCAUACUCAGGUACGUUGUACUGAAAUUCAAAAUAGGUACAUCGGGGGAACCGCCUGAACUGAAACAUCUAAGUAGGGCGAGGAAGAGACAUCAAACGAGAUUCCGUAAGUAGUGGCGAGCGAACGCGGAAGAGGGCAAACCGAAGGUAGAAAUACCUUCGGGGUACGGACUGCUUUUAGGACUCAAUCUGUUAACCGAACGGCAUGGGAAGGCCGGUCAGAGAGUGUGAGAACCACGUAGGUGAAAACGACAAGAGCUGAGCGAGUUCCAGAGUACGGCCAGACACGUGAAACCUGGUCGGAAUACGGGGGGACCACCCUCCAACCCUAAAUACUACCCAGUGACCGAUAGCGUAUAGUACUGUGAAGGAAAGGUGAAAAGCACCCCGGGAGGGGAGUGAAAAAGAACCUGAAACCCUGUGCCUACAAGCACCUAGAGCACGUCAAAGUGUGAUAGGGUACUUUUUGUAGAACGGUCCGGCGAGCGAUUGUAUGCAGCAAGGUUAAGGACUUAAGGUCUGGAGCCGAAGCGAAAGCGAGUUUGAAAAGGGCGUUAAGUUGCAUAUAAUGGGCCCGAAACCGGGUGACCUACCCAUGGUCAGGUUGAAGUGGAAGUAAAAUUCCAUGGAGGACCGAACCGACCUCCGUUGAAAAGGCGGCGGAUGAACUGUGGGUAGCGGAGAAAUUCCAAUCGAACCCGGAGAUAGCUGGUUCUCCCCGAAAUAGUUUUAGGACUAGCCUCAAGUUAGAUACCUGGAGGUAAAGCACUGAAUAGCCUAGCGGCCGAGAGGUUAGCGAAGCUUAUCAAACUCAGAAUGCCAGAGUAUUGAUGCUUGGGAGUCAGACAGUGUCAGAUAAAUGUCAUUGUCAAAAGGGAAACAGCCCAGAUCUACAGCUAAGGUCCCAAAGUCAGGUUAAGUGGAAAACGAUGUGAAGAUACGUAGACAACCAGGAUGUUGGCUCAGAAGCAGCCACACAUUCAAAGAGUGCGUAAUAGCUCACUGGUCGAGCGUCUUUGCGCGGAGAAUUUAACGGGGCUAAACCUGACACCGAAGCUUAGGCAAUGUACUUUGUACAUUGGGUAGGGGAGCGUUGUAUACGCGGAGAAACAGUAGCGUAAGCGGCUGUGGAGUGUAUAGAAGUGAGAAUGCCGGAAUGAGUAGCGCGAAUGCAGUGAGAAUCUGCAUGGCCGAAAGCCUCAGGUUUUUGGAGGAAGGUUCGUCCGCUCCAAGUUAGUCGGGAGCUAAGGUGAGGCCGGAAGGCGUAGCCGAUGCACAGACGGUAGAGAUUCCGUCACCACCAAAAGAGUUAAGCACAGGGACACAUUUGAAGUCUCAGAGCCGGGUGUUGGUUCCGGUAGAGAUCGAGGGAAGUUAGUACCGAAGUCUGAGAUGGAAGAUGGCGAGAAAAGCUGUGUGUAUUUCUGAGGUGCCCGUACCGCAAACCGACACAGGUAGGUAGGAAGAAGAUUCUAAGGCCAACGGGAGAAGGGUUGUUAAGGAACUCGGCAAAUUGACCCCGUAACUUCGGGAGAAGGGGUGCUCCAGAGAUGGAGCCGCAGAGAAUCGGCCCAAGCAACUGUUUACCAAAAACACAGGUUUGUGCUAAAUCGAAAGAUGACGUAUACGAGCUGACGCCUGCCCGGUGCUGGAAGGUUAAGAGGAGAUGUGCAAGCAUUGAAUCGAAGCCCCAGUGAACGGCGGCCGUAACUAUAACGGUCCUAAGGUAGCGAAAUUCCUUGUCAGGUAAGUUCUGACCCGCACGAAUGGCGUAACGAUUUGGGCACUGUCUCAACAGCCCGCCCGGCGAAAUUGUAGUACCGGUGAAGAUGCCGGUUUCCCGCGACAAGACGGAAAGACCCCAUGGAGCUUUACUGUAGCCUAAUAUUGGGUUUCGAUGUUGCAUGCACAGGAUAGAUGGGACACAGGGAAACAAUCGCUUUGGCGGUUGCGGAGUGGCCGUUGGGAUACCAUCCUUGCGAUAUUGGAAUUCUAACCUGCGGCUCUGAAUCGAGUCGGGGGACAUUGUUAGGUGGGCAGUUUGACUGGGGCGGUCGCCUCCUAAAAAGUAACGGAGGCG